ACCCACUCAUUUCAGCCCAUUUCUCCAUCAUUUCCCAUUAUAUUUUCAGAGCAUUUCAAGAGAGAGAGUGAAGGAAGAGGAAGAAGAAGUUGCUGCAGGUUGGAGGUUGAAGAAGGGAGAAAAAUCUCAUGCAAGUGCAACCAUGGAAGAAUUUGGGUUCAACCUACCUAUCUCUGGUUUUUAAGUCGGUUUGAGCUACACAAAAAGAAUUAAGAGGAAAACAGAGCACAGAAUUUUCGUGCAAAUCAGAAGGAUCUCUGCUUUUCUUUGGUUUUUCGAACAUUCUGGGGUGUACAGGUUGGAUUAGAAUCUCAAUUGGGAGAAAAGUAGAGGGUAGCAGAAAAGCACGAAUCUGUAUUCUCUGGGUUCAAGGGAUUUCUGGAUAAAUCCGUUGGGAAUCUCAUUUUUAUUCCUUCAGGUCAAGAGGAAAUAGGCCAAGUCUACAGACCAAGGAACUAGCCAAGACUGUGAGUGACAAAACAAAUUUCAAAAAGGAUUUCUAAACUGUAAUUUAUGCUUAAAUGAUUUACAUGCUUGAAUAUGAACUUAUGAAUGAUACAUGAUUUCUAUGAAUAGUUUCAAGCAUAAGUUUUGGGCUUAGAUUUUCUAAUGAUGUUUAUAUACGAGCACGUAAUUAUUGACUUCCUGAAAAGUAGUUGAAACGAUACCAUUUAAGGUAAAGUAUGUAUUAGCGAGUACUGUUUAAAGAUUUUUCAGUUUUUCACGAGCAAGCCGAGUAAGCUUGAGUUUUACGAAAGAUAAAGAUAAGCAGGCAUGUUUUAAUGUUUUCAUGUGGUUUUCUGAGACUUUUAUUGACUACAUGACUGAGAUAUUGAGCCUGAGGCUAUAUGGUACCGUGUGCACACAGGUUAUAUUCCAUUGUUGACGUUGAGUGUACUCCGUGACAACGAUGCUGUUGGGAGUGCUGGGCGGGCCCCACUACGACAAAGACGAUGGGAGUGCUGGGCGAGCCCCACUACAUCGUAGAGCUAGUAAACGUUGGUUGUACUGGGCGUGCACUACACAACGUUGAUUUGUCAUGUAGAGAUCGAGCUCCUGGUGCCUGAUAACUACCAAAGUCUGUUUUCUCCUAAAAGCUUCCAGAUCAAGCUUCAUAUGUGGGUGGAGUUAUACAUUGUGUCUGUUUAUAUUGUAAAUGUUAUUGUAAGAAUUGGAUAGUUUAUGGUUGUGUAAGAACUAAAUGUCGUGGUUGUGUAAACCCCAGUUGGAUAUGUUUUUGGUUGUGAUAUCUCUAUCAGGUUAUUUUCCAAACCGA